GGUGUUGCUGGUGCAGGCGUAUUGUUAACUGAAGGUUGUCGUGGUGAAGGUGCAAUCCUUCGUAACGAUGC
rnacentral:tRNA from 1 species